AAAUCCUUAAACAACGAAAGCCCUACCUCUCUCUCGUCCUAACGGCUCCGAAGCCGAUCCAGUGUGAAUAAGCUCAUCUCAAGUACU
rnacentral:sRNA from 1 species